GUCUCCCCAGAAGCGUGUGAGAGCGUUGGAGACUUGGAUUCAUACUGACCUGGUUCUUCCUCGGAUCACAUCUCUGUGCUCUCCUGGUGAAAAGCUGUCUACGGGGCAAGGAAGAAAAUCUAAGAGGUUGUGUUCAAGACGUGGAUAUGACGUACAGUAAAACCUAAUGGAAACAUGAUGCUAGGCAUAGGCAAAGAAAGAACACAAAAUAACAAGAUUGGAUUGACCAUUAUCCAUCAGAAAGUUGUCUGGCAUGAUGCUUCUGCUGCCUUUCAUGUCUCUCUAAUUUUCUUCUGUCUUAACAAAUAAAAAUGGGUAUAAUAA